GUUACCAAGGAGUCCUAUAGUAAAUAAAUAAACCGCAAUGUCGAAAAAAAAUCAGAACGAUUUUCGAUAGUCAAACUUUUGCUAAAUUGAACUGGUUAUUUCUGAGCUUAAACCAGUUAUUGCUGGAUUACUUUUCGGAAAGUGUUAAUAAAAAAGUAUAAGAUUGAGUCAAGGACAUCAUAUAUGACACAUAAACCACGCGUCAGGAUAAUAAGUAUCUGCAAAUUGCAAACGCAGGAAGCUCAAUGGAUCUUCGAAAUCUCGUGAGACAAUUCGCAAGAACCAUACCCUCGAAACUUGUACCUGGGAAAACAUGUCGAGAAGUAAUAUGACUCAUUGAGGCCUGCAAUUGAUUGGCUACCUAUGCAAAUAUGGUUCGAGCAAUAGCAGUAAUUGCAAAUGGCACGAAGUUAUUUAUUUAGAAAUGAUGGUUCGAUCUAUCGUUUUCAGAAGAUUUUAGAGUUCUUGCACUAAUGAUCAGCACCAGAGCCAAGUUCAAUAAAUGAUCAUGUAGGGUAACGGAUAUACUUUGGCCACUAAUAAAUGUUCUGUUUCAUAAAAUUGAAGUACAAUUCUCUCGCGGUUCAUGCAUUGACAGAUUGAAGUUCUUGUAGCAUCUUCUACCGAAUUGAAAAUGUUGUAUACAAUAUUGAUAAAUAUCGAGCAGCUUCUGUCAAAUUUUCGGCUAUCACCAACACUGGAUUCAAUGAUGGAUUUUUUUAAAUUCAAUAAAUUGUUAUUAAAAAAGAA